CCUACGGGUGGCAGCAGUGAGGAAUAUUGGUCAAUGGACGAGAGUCUGAACCAGCCAAGUAGCGUGAAGGAUGACUGCCCUAUGGGUUGUAAACUUCUUUUAUAUGGGAAUAAAAUGUUCCACGUGUGGGUUUUUGUAUGUACCAUAUGAAUAAGGAUCGGCUAACUCCGUGCCAGCAGCCGCGGUAAUACGGAGGAUCCGAGCGUUAUCCGGAUUUAUUGGGUUUAAAGGGUGCGUAGGUUGACUGUUAAGUCAGUUGUGAAAGUUUGCGGCUCAACCGUAGAAUUGCAGUUGAAACUGGCAGUCUUGAGUACAGGAGAGGUAGGCGGAAUGCGUGGUGUAGCGGUGAAAUGCUUAGAUAUCACGAAGAACACCGAUUGCGAAGGCAGUUCACUGGACUGCAACUGACGCUGAGGCUCGAAAGUGUGGGUAUCAAACAGGAUUAGAUACCCGAGUAGUC
rnacentral:rRNA from 1 species